rnacentral:rRNA from 1 species
UACGUAGGGGCCUAGCGUUGUCCGGAUUUAUUGGGCGUAAAGGGCUCGUAGGCGGCCUGUCGCGUCGGGAGUGAAAGCCCACUGCUUAACGGUGGGUCUGCUUUCGGUACGGGCGGGCUAGAGUAUGGCAGGGGAGACUGGAAUUCCUGGUGUAGCGGUGGAAUGCGCAGAUAUCAGGAGGAACACCGGUGGCGAAGGCGGGUCUCUGGGCCAUUACUGACGCUGAGGAGCGAAAGCGUGGGGAGCGAACAGG